rnacentral:rRNA from 1 species
CGGAAAAUUUUUAUUUGUUUACAAAUACAUAAAAGGUUUAGUGAACUUUAGAACACACGAUCGAGUUUUGUAACGCAUGAUCAAUACACUGUUCAAAAUCAAAGUUCUUUUGAAAACCCCAUAAUUUAAUUUUAUGUUUCGCUACUUCUUUUAAUGUUCUGUUUUUUAUAUUUUCUUUUUAUUUGUUUUCUCCUUCUGGUGGCACGUGAUAUCCGGAUCACGAUGUCACCCGUCGGGUUCGGGUGGUGGUCGGAAAAAGAGGGAGGAGACAUAUCAUGUCUCUCCUCCGUCUCCGAACACGCACCGCCGGUAGGGGCGGAGGUACCGGUAGGAACGGCGGCACAGCACGUAGGCCGCUUGGGGAUCUCUACAUAUUCUUGUGCGGGUGCGGGGGCUGCCUGGGAUCGAAGGGGGAAAGAGGGGUGUGCGCGGCGACGAGAGAAGGGGUAGGUGUGGGCUGCGGUGGCAGCGGCACGGCAGCAGCAAGCGCGCGUGGCCUUCGAGGGGCGCGGUGGACCCCUGUAGGUCCUCCUGGCGGUGAGAGAGGAAGCAGGCAGGGCCCCCGGUCGAGUUCGAUCCUGUGGCGUAUCGGAGCGGUAGCGGAGAAGAAGGGCGGUGCCAGCAGCGCGCAGGGGCGGUAGCUAGAGGUGGUGGCCCGGAGGGGCCGGUAGAGCUCGAGCAGAUACUGGAGGGCUGAUACUCUGACUGCGGCGACGACGGGGCUAGCUGAUGCAACAACUGCUGGGGAAGAACGGUCUCGUUGGUCUACGGCCUCGGGUCCUCGGUCUGCGGUGGCAGCUGCUGCUGAGGAUGAUGUCACCUCCACGGAUGUUGACGCACGUCAGGCGACUGCUGCUGGUCCUCAUCAAAUCCUCCUAGGGUCCGUCCUCCGGACGCGGAGAAAGCUAGACAUAGGGUCAAACACGAUCGGAAGAAUUCCGUUAGAACAAAUUGAAUACAGACAUGAGUCUAUAACAACGAAGGCGACUGAGCAGAUACU